ensembl:lncRNA
CAGCCGCUCAGUCUCCCUGCCUUUCAAUUCAUUUUCUCUAUUGCGCUCCACUAGAACAAAUGCUCGUCAAAUACAAACAGCAGCUCAGAAGAAAACAGAGGCCCUGGCAUGGAAAAAACAACGCUGAACAUUUUCCCCCUCUCCUUUCUUGUUGCCCGCUUUCUUGCAGCAGAGAUGAGCAGAUGGCUUUCUGGUAAUGAUGGAGUAAAAAUUAAUUACUUCUGUGUGUGUUUGUGUAUGUGUGCUUGUACGCGUGUGUGUAUGUGUUGUUGUUUUUUUUUGAAAAAAUUAUAUAUUAAGCAGCAAUGAUUGUAACUCAGGAUAGGAGUUAAAAUAUUCAGUUGCCAGGACUACAGGAAGUAUAAGGCUUUUGCAAAUAAACAAGGAAGUAGACUGGGCAGUCGCCACUGUUUCAGUGCCAAAAUUGAAAAUAUCUGUACAUACAUGUUGAAGUAGCCAGUACACUGCUGUUCUUGAAAAAUGGGUGACUGGAAUCCUGUUGGUGCCUUAGACAUACAGAAGUGCCCCAAUGGAAAUGGCUAGACUUUUCUGUCUGAUUUGUAGUUGAACAUUUGGUUCAAAGUUGUAGAAAAAGACUUGUGCAUGUGGUGCCAUUUGAUGGGAAUGUCUACGGAACAUGGUUCCAUGCUGACAUGAGUAUUUAUCUACUGGAUUAAAUGAAGCAACAUCAUACCUACACCACAGUGGUAGGUGAAAACACGUUCCUCUUCCUUCCAAGUGUCAUUGCUCUCACUUCAGAGGGAGAGAAGAGCAGCCAAGCACACCUCCAUCAUACCUGGACCACAGCAGUUGGUGGGAGGACCAUCUUCUUUCUUCCAAGUGUCAUUGCUCUGGCUUCAGAGGGAGAGAAGAGCAGCCAACUACACCUCCAUCAUGCCUGGACCACAGUAGCUUAUGAGACGCCCUCCUCUUUCUUCUAAGCAUCAUUGCUCUCACUUCAGAGGGAGAGAAGAGCAGCCAUGCACACCUCCAUCAUACUUGGAUCACAGUGACUGGCGAAGGAUGUUCCUCCUCCUUCUAAGUAUCAUUGCUCUGGAUUUAGAGAGAGAGAAGAGCAGCCAAUCACACCUCCAUCAUGCCUUAGUUGCAGCAUCUAGUGAGAGGACCACCCUCUUUUUUCCAAGCAUCAUUGCUCUCACUUCAGAGGAAGAGAAGAGCAGCCAAACACAUCUCCCUCUUGCCUGAAUCACAGUUGCUGGUGAGAGGACAUUCCUCUUUCUUCCAAGUGUCAUUGCUCUGGCUUCAGAGGGAGAGAAGAGCAGCCAAACACACCUCCAUCAUGCCUUGUUUGCAGCAGCUAGUGAGAGGACAUUCCUCUUUCUUCCAAGUGCCAUUACUCUGGCCUCAGAGGGAGAAAAGAGCAGUCACCCACUACAUUUUGCCCUGACCCAGUUGCUGGUAAGAGGCCAUCUCUUCAUACUAUAACUGCCAUUAUCCUGGCCUUUGAGAAACAACGAGGAGCCAGUCACAGCUCCAUGGUUUGAGGAUUGCUGAUUGUGGCCAUUCUGCAUUGUCCAAAUAACCACUCUGGAUGCAUAACACAAUAUACAAGUCAC